rnacentral:rRNA from 1 species
UACGUAGGGUGCGAGCGUUGUCCGGAAUUAUUGGGCGUAAAGAGCUCGUAGGCGGUGUGUCGCGUCGGCCGUGAAAACCUGGGGCUCAACUCUGGGCGUGCGGUCGAUACGGGCAUCACUUGAGUUCGGCAGGGGAGACUGGAAUUCCUGGUGUAGCGGUGAAAUGCGCAGAUAUCAGGAGGAACACCGGUGGCGAAGGCGGUUCUCUGGGCCUUACCUGACGCUGGAGGAGCGAAAGCGUGGGGAGCAAACAGG